CCUACGGGAGGCUGCAGUGGGGAAUAUUGCACAAUGGGGGAAACCCUGAUGCAGCGACGCCGCGUGAGUGAAGAAGUAUUUCGGUACGUAAAGCUCUAUCAGCAGGGAAGAAAAUGACGGUACCUGACUAAGAAGCCCCGGCUAACUACGUGCCAAAAGCCGCGGUAAUACGUAGGGGGCAAGCGUUAUCCGGAUUUACUGGGUGUAAAGGGAGCGUAGACGGCAGCGCAAGUCUGGAGUGAAAUCCCAUGGCUUAACCAUGGAACUGCUUUGGAAACUGUGCAGCUAGAGUGCAGGAGAGGUAAGCGGAAUUCCUAGUGUAGCGGUGAAAUGCGUAGAUAUUAGGAGGAACACCAGUGGCGAAGGCGGCUUACUGGACUGUAACUGACGUUGAGGCUCGAAAGCGUGGGGAGCAAACAGGAUUAGAUACCCCAGUAGUC
rnacentral:rRNA from 1 species